UACGAAGGGGGCUAGCGUUGUUCGGAAUUACUGGGCGUAAAGCGCACGUAGGCGGAUAUUUAAGUCAGGGGUGAAAUCCCAGAGCUCAACUCUGGAACUGCCUUUGAUACUGGGUAUCUUGAGUAUGGAAGAGGUAAGUGGAAUUGCGAGUGUAGAGGUGAAAUUCGUAGAUAUUCGCAGGAACACCAGUGGCGAAGGCGGCUUACUGGUCCAUUACUGACGCUGAGGCGCGAAAGCGUGGGGAGCAAACAGG
rnacentral:rRNA from 1 species